rnacentral:ncRNA from 1 species
CUCUGGACCCGCACUGCGGUUCAGGGCGGAAAGAG